CCCAGCCAUCAGGGCAGAGUAGAGCAAAUGAGAUAAUACAAUGUAAAUACCCUUUAUUAACUGAAAAAGAGUUUAAUUCUGUUUUAAAGAAUAUCAUAUCCUCUUACUUUACUAAAAGAAUUUGAAAUUUGUUUCAAAAUAUUUCAGCUUAGUUUUGCUUCCAUCCCUUCCACAGUGGUUUGAUCCUGCUUCUUAGAACAGCAUCCCCUUUCUGCUAAUCAGUAGUCUGAUUCUGUCUCACAGACCACUAGGCCCUUUAUGUUCUUACUCUCCCUUCUUUUUCCAUACCUACCCCAGAGUGGUUUGAUGACACCUUAUAGAAAAGCAUCCUUCUUUAGCUCUCUAUACAACUGCGGUUUGAUCCUGUCUGGAGAGCGUCAACAUCUUUCCCCCUCCAGUCUCACGCCAAUGAUUUGAUCCCGAGUCAUUGAGCAUGAGCUUCUUUUAGCUCCUCCCCCGGGGUCUACAGUGGUUUGAUCCUACCUCACAGACUAUUAGGUCCUUUCUGAUUCCCCCUCUAGCUAAUCAACACAACAAAUGGUAUGGUCCUUAGCAUCAGGUCCUCUUUGUACCCCCCACUGGUCUUCUAAGCAGAUUGAAGCUGCUUCAUCUUACCCCUGAUUCAUCUUGAUUCUCUUCAGUGGUUUGUUCUUGCAUUAGUGAUGUAAAACUGCCCCAAAUAGGUUUAAAGUUGUCAGAACUUGCUCUUGACCAGUUCAAAUCUUUUCUCACAAGGAAAAAUCAGUUCUGACCAGUUCAAAUCUAUUUUGACCAGUUUAAACUCUGCAGAGCUGGAGUCUGAUGUCGGUAAACCCAGGAAGAUGGCUGAAGAUGAUGCUGAUUCAAGCCAAAGCAAGGAUUCAGGCAACAAACAAUGACAUGCCAUCAUUUCUUCAAUUUGAUUUCCUUGAUUACAACUGGAAAAAUGGAAGUGUUUUAACAAUAAUGUUAAUAUUGCAUUGUCUGCAUAUAUCUAUCUAUAUAUACAGAAACACACGUAAACAAGCUUAAUCAUGAGAAAACCAUUGGAAAAAUCCCAGUUGAGGAGAAUUCUAUGAAAUACUUGACCAGUACCUCAAAUCCAUCAAGGUCAUCAACAAGGAAAAUCUGAGAAACUGUCAGAGCCAAGAGGAGUCUAAGAAGACAUGACAACUAAAUGUAAUGUGGUAUCAUGGAUGGCAUGCUGAAACAGAAAAAGGACCUUAGGUAAAAACUAAGAAAUCUGAACAAAGUAUGGGCUGUAGCUACCAGUAAUGUAAUAGAAUUUGUUCAUUAAUCAUAAGAAAUGUACAAUACUAAAGUAGAAAGUUAUAGGGAAAACUGGGUGUUGAGUAUAUGGGAACCCUCUGUACUAUCUUUGCAAGUUUUCUGUAAAUCUAAAAUGAUUAUGUAAAGUAAAAAUAUUACUAGAAAGUUAAAGGAAGACAAGAGGUAGAAAAGUGAAAAAAUAAUGCACUUAAGUAAGAAAGAGGAGAUAAGAUGAUUUCACUUAGAAGCAGAAUCUAAAAACAAAAAGAACAAAACAGCAAUAGACUCAUAGACAUUAAGUUGUGACUGGUGGUUACCAUGGGGGAGUGGUUAGUGUGGGUAGGUGUAAUAGGUGAAGGGGAUAGAGGCACAAAAUCUAAUCAUAAUAUAAAUUAGUUACAGGGAUGAAAGUACAGCAUAGAGAAUAUAGUCAGUAACUCUGUAACAUCUUUUUAUGUUGACAGAUAGUAACCACACUAGUUGGGGUGAUCAUCUA